rnacentral:rRNA from 1 species
UACGUAGGGUGCGAGCGUUGUCCGGAAUUAUUGGGCGUAAAGGGCUCGUAGGCGGUUUGUCGCGUCGGGAGUGAAAUCCACUGGCUUAACUGGUGGCUUGCUUUCGAUACGGGCAGACUGGAGGUAUGCAGGGGAGAACGGAAUUCCUGGUGUAGCGGUGAAAUGCGCAGAUAUCAGGAGGAACACCGGUGGCGACGGCGGUUCUCUGGGCAUGUCCUGACGCUGAGGAGCGAAAGUGUGGGGAGCGAACAGG